rnacentral:rRNA from 1 species
GACGAACGCUGGCGGCGUGCUUAACACAUGCAAGUCGAACGAAGUGGCGAAGGGGUGAGUAAUACGUGGGUAACCUGCCCUCCUUUUUGGGAUAAGCCUUGGAAACGGGGUCUAAUACCUAAUAAAGGGGGAUGGGCUCGGGGCCUAUGGGCUUGUGGGGGGGGUGAUGGCCUACCAAGGCGGUGACGGGUCGCCGGCCUGAGAGGGGGACCGGCCACGUUGGGACUGAGAUACGGCCCAGGUGCCUAAGGAAGGGAGCAGUGGGGGAUAUUGUCCAAUGGGUGAACGCCUGAUGCAGCGACGCCGCGUGGGGGAUGAAGGCUUUCGGGUUGUAAACUUCUUUAGCUAUCGAAACGGUAGGUGGCGAAGAAGCGCCGGCUAACUACGUGCCAGCAGCCGCGGUAAUUC